rnacentral:misc_RNA from 1 species
UAAAGAUGAACUAAAGAGGGGGAAUCUGAUACAUAAAGAGCCUUAAAAUUAAAAUCUUCGAAUACAAUUUCGUCGAUUGAACGUUGUAUGGAAGGGAUAUUGAAAAGGGGUUCAGUAAGAAGUAGAGAAGAGUGUGAAGGAGUAAUUUUGAGAAGGUUCGAGAAGAUGUGAGACCAAAUGGAAGAUUGGAGAUCAGGGUUGAUAAGAUAACCGCGGUCGAAAGGGCGGCGGGCGGUGGCUGAAGUGAGGUCGACGUCUGGGGAAAGAAGCUGGUCAGCCAUAAGCCAUUUCUUGGAAGAAAGUGGACGGCCCAUGCUGUUGGGGACAAUAGCUGUUGGAUCUCUUUCGCCGCCGAUACCAGCCUUGAUUACGCCGGCGCCGUUGUCCAAAACUACAACAUUCGACAUUUCCGAUUGCCACACUAACUGAACACCCAGCUUCCUAAUUUAUGGCGCAAUGAAUUAAAUCCAUCGGCAUGAUAAUUGAUUUUUUGGGACGAAUUGAAGUGAGAAUUAUGUUGAAAGAAAAAAGCGG